rnacentral:rRNA from 1 species
GACGAACGCUGGCGGCAAGCUUAACACAUGCAAGUCGAACGCCGUAGCAAUACGGAGUGGCAGACGGGUGAGUAACACGUGGGAACGUGCCUUUCGGUUCGGAACAACUGAGGGAAACUUCAGCUAAAACCGGAUACGCCCUUCGGGGGAAAGUUUACGCCGAAAGAUCGGCCCGCGUCAGAUUAGGUAGUUGGCGGGGUAAUGGCCCACCAAGCCGAUGAUCUGUAGCUGUUCUGAGGGGAAGAUCAGCCACACCGGGACUGAGACACGGCCCAGACUCCUACGGGAGGCAGCAGUGGGGAAUAUUGGACAAUGGGCGCAAGCCUGAUCCAGCUAUGCCGCGUGGAUGAAGAAGGCCUUCGGGUUGUAAAGUCCUUUCGGCGGGGAAGAUAAUGACGGUACCCGCAGAAGAAGCCCCGGCUAAUUUCGUGCCAGCCGCCGCAGUAACAC